GUUAUCCGGAAUCAUUGGGCGUAAAGCGCCUGUAGGUUGUUUAAUAAGUCCGUUGUUAAAGACUAGGGCUUAACCCUAGGAAAGCGAUGGAAACUGAUAGACUUGAGUAUGGCAGGGGUAGAGGGAAUUUCUAGUGUAGCGGUGAAAUGCGUAGAUAUUAGAAAGAACACCGGUGGCGAAAGCGCUCUACUGGACCAUUACUGACACUCAGAGGCGAAAGCUAGGGUAGCAAAAGGGAUUAGAUACCCCUGUAGUCCUAGCCGUAAACGAUGGAUACUAGAUGUUGUGCGUAAAGUACAGUAUCCUAGCUAACGCGUUAAGUAUCCCCGCCUGGGGAGUACGCUCGCAAGGGUGAAACUCAAAGGAAUUGACGGGGGCCUGCACAAGCGGUGGAGCAUGUGGUUUAAUUCGAUGCAACGCGAAGAACCUUACCAAGGCUUGACAUACUACAAAUUUUUCUGAGAGGAAAAAGUGCCUUCGGGAAUGUAGGUACAGGUGGUGCAUGGCUGUCGUCAGCUCGUGUCGUGAGAUGUUGGGUUAAGUCCCGCAACGAGCGCAACCUUUGUUUUUAGUUGCCAAUUUAUUGGGUUUUCUAGAAAGACUGCCGGUGACAAACCGGAGGAAGGUGAGGAUGACGUCAAGUCAGCAUGCCCCUUAUGUCCUGGCUACACACGUGCUACAAUGGUUAAGACAAAGAGUCGCCGAGCUCGUAAGAGUCAGCUAAUCUCAUAAACUU
rnacentral:rRNA from 1 species